rnacentral:lncRNA from 1 species
GGGUAGUAGAAUAUUUCUACUCUGUACAUUUUUUUACUAUCUGUAAUGCUAACUUAAAUAUUUUAUCUUUGAAUGCAUUUAUGAUAUAUUUUACUUACUGAUAUUCUUUAUGACGUAACGAAGCAUUAAUAAUUAUCCUUACUGAUUUUCUUUAUGAAAUAUUGUAGCCUUACUAAUUUUACUCACUGAUAUUCUUUAUAAAGUAAUGUGAACUUACUAAUUUUACUCACUGAUAUUCUUUAUGACGUAUUGUAUGUUGUUAUCACAUAGUCCGUUUCUGUGUAUGUUGGUUUUUGUAACAGUUCAAAGUUUAUGUUGUUCCAUUUUCUUUUCUCUUAUAGUUGACAAGUAUACAAGGAAGCUAUUAAACCAAGAGUUCAAAAUGGUGAAGUUGAAAUAAUCCAUUUUGUAAAUUUUACGGACACCAUCACGAGUUGGUUGACCGUUUUGGAAAAUCCGUUGCACGGGUGAUAUCGGUUAUGUUUCUUAUGUGGUAACUACAAUCCGUUCCCUUUUCACGAAUAUGACCUACCGAAUUAGUAUAUUUUACCGGGUU